rnacentral:rRNA from 1 species
CCUACGGGAGGCAGCAGUGGGGAAUAUUGGACAAUGGGCGAAAGCCUGAUCCAGCAAUGCCGCGUGAGUGAUGAAGGCCUUAGGGUUGUAAAGCUCUUUUACCAGGGAUGAUAAUGACAGUACCUGGAGAAUAAGCUCCGGCUAACUCCGUGCCAGCAGCCGCGGUAAUACGGAGGGAGCUAGCGUUGUUCGGAAUUACUGGGCGUAAAGCGUACGUAGGCGGUUAUUCAAGUCAGNGUAGACGCGNCACACNCA